UACGUAGGCAGCAAGCGUUGUUCGGAUUUACUGGGCGUAAAGGGUGCGUAGGCGGUUCGUUAAGUCUGUCGUGAAAUCCCCGGGCUCAACCUGGGAAUGGCGAUGGAUACUGGCGAGCUAGAGUGUGUCAGAGGAUGGUGGAAUUCCCGGUGUAGCGGUGAAAUGCGUAGAGAUCGGGAGGAACAUCAGUGGCGAAGGCGGCCAUCUGGGACAACACUGACGCUGAAGCACGAAAGCGUGGGGAGCAAACAGG
rnacentral:rRNA from 1 species